AUGGAACCAUGCCGUCAAUGUAAAUUGAAGAAACUUAUUAGCUCUUAACAUGCUGUGAAUCCUCUCGAGGAGGUGCAUUCAGGAAUGCGAAACUAGUGGUGGAUAGUUGUCAUUAGCUCGUGCUGUAAGGUGUUGAAUUACAACCCUCGUGUUUAGUUAUCUUUGUUGGCUUUGGUACCCUGAAUAGACUAUCGAUGAUAAGCCAAAGAAAGGUGAGGAUGAAGUAAAGUCAUCAUGCUCUUUAUACCCUAGGCAACACACGUGCUAUAAUGGUUGGGACAAAGAGUCGCGAUUCCGUGAGGUGAGCUAACCCUAAAAACCCAUCCUUUUGUUUCAAAUUGCAAGCUAUAACUUGCUUGCAUGAAGUCAAAAUCGCUAGUAAUCAUUGAUCAGCCAUAUAGAGAUGAA
rnacentral:rRNA from 1 species